AUACAUACCUUUUUCAUAUUCAUAAUUCGCAUAACGGGACAGAUUCACAACUUAGCUUAUGCAUAACUUACAACUCAUGCAAAGUAGAUGGAUUUUUGGCUGUCCGAGUCCGAUAAGCGGCAUAUGUACAUGUUUUACACGCAUGCUAACGACCCGUUUUUUCCUUUUUCUUUUACAGUAGGUUAAAGUUGUCAGCAAUGGCACAUAUGUACUACCUGCUUACGUAGCUGGCUGCAUAUUUACAUCUUUUACAGUAGCUUACUUUAGCACAAAGCCAUAGUAAGUGAAGGUCUAUGGAAACCAGGUACUUGACAUCUGAUAUCAUCAAAGUUACAUGCACGCUUGCAACUCAUUCUGUUCGAUUUUAACUAAUGUAUUCAACCCCUGACACCUAUAUCCAUGGGACCCACAAUUUGGAUGCAAUACAAUAGUUUAGAUAACAAGAAUCUGUUAACUUCAGUUAAGUUCUAGUCAGAGCUUCUAGCAUUUUCGCAACUUUGUGCAUUGGGUACAGUUGACACACGUGUCAUUGCUAUCUGCAACAAUUGAACCAACUCUUCUUCAAUAUUAGUACACAUGUGAAAAGCCUAGCAGUCCAUUUUUGACGCACGUUUACUGAACCCAUUGUGGUAAAUCUAGGCCUUCCUCUCCUAGUGAGGUUUGCGUAGGGGAUUUACCCGUCAGAAACUGGAGUAGCAAAACCCCAAGACUGUAAACAUCUGAUUUAAAGUGACAUUUUUGGGUCUCAAGGACUUCUGGGCCUGGUAUCUAUAAGCCCGAUUGUUUAACGUGCUUGACCCACUAAGUAGUGGGUUCAGACCAUAGUCUGAAAUGGCUUCCCGAAGAAGGAUGUUGGAUGCCUUGAUCUUGCCAUGAACUAUGUUCAUAGCAACAUGCAAGUAAGCCAACCCUUUGACGACACUUGCUGCUAUUCUCACUCGAUGGUCCCAAUCGAGUGUGGUCCGGCCCGUGAUUUUGUUGCCUGUAUAAGUGUUCGCAUAUGUUAGAUUUUUUGGACCAUUAAUGUAAAUAAGAUGGUACAGUUGGGUCAUGAUUAACAUAAGCCCGGAGAUGCCUUUAACACGAUACGAAUGUCAUGACAGAAACAUGACUUUGAAAUGAUUUAGUUAUGGGGUUGUCAUUUUGUCUUAUCUUUAUACUUGUAUUUUAGUUAUGACAGAAACAUGACUUUGAAAUGAUUUAGUUAUGAUUUAGUUAGAAUGGCAUACCAACAUUACAAUGAACACCAGGAUACCUUUCAGGGUCAUACAAUAUGUAGGGUCAUACAAUCCAUAUAGAAGGUUAAAGUAAUAUGGACAUUGUCACAUAAGCCAUUUCUUUAUAAAGUUGUAUUUUCAUAUGAGCCUUAUGAUGUGGGCAAACCACGGGUCGUAUAGCCCUCUUCUACAACUCGUGUGACACAUAUUUGCCAUGUUAUACGAUCCGUAUGAGGGAUGGUGUAUGGUUAACAUGUCAUUGGUACCAACCACCUUAUUUAUUUACGGAGUAAUGCAGAUGGGCUAUCUCUUUUGAUACUUUUUACAGUCUGUUAUAACAUAAACGGCCUACUUGACUGCGGGGUUAAUUAGGCCGGUCUAAAACGGUUUGUUUUGAAAUUUAGAACCAAUAUUUUUAUUAAAGAUAAACAUGGUUUAUGAUUAUCUAUACUAUAUUAUAAUACAUGAGGGAAGGAUUCCUAAAAGUUAAGAACUUCUUCCCCCAUUAUUUAUAAAUAAACCCUUAGAAUGAGGGUAAAGUGGUCUUUUAAACCAUAAUUAUUUUUUAGUCCCUCAAUCUAUUACAUUUAAAUCCUUGACAUUUAAUAUAAUUAUGGGAAAUUAGUUACACUCCCCCCCCCCCUCUUUAAUUCUUUAAUGUAUUCCUGCGAUAUCUUACAACCCGUAAUGUUUUAAAAAAAUCCGAAGGUACCAUGACGAUCGGGACAUUUUUGUCGACUUUUCGAUGGUUGUCUUGGUCAAUAUUGACGUGCUGAUUAAAAUGUAUAAGUAGAUGAUGCGUUAGUGUACAAGUGAUUUAAUCCUGCUAAAAGCACUAACAUUUUUAAAAGUAAAACUAUUGUUGAAUAAUGGAUUAAACUUUUCUUUAUACUUUAGUCAAAUAUAACAAAACGUCCUAUUUUAAAGGUAAAAUUUUAACCGGGAAAAACUUUUUAAAAUUUAAACUUUAAAUUAUAGUACAAUCACUUGAAAAGUUUUAUGUACAGUUCAUUUAUGAGAUUCUAGAGGCACUCUUCUUCCUUUGUCUCUCUCUCAAAGUCCCUACUCCCAUUUCAAAACUCAAUAAAUGAUGGCCGGUGUAACCACAUAUUCGUGAAGAUGGUGGCCUCUGUUCAGGUAAGAUGACGACAAUGAAGAUGGCGUCUAGGGUUUGCAGCGGCUCUACAGGCGGUAAAAGUGGUGAAUUCUGAACCAAAAGCGAAAGUAGAAGAUGGUGUACGGACGGAACCAAACACAACCUUCAUCUUCCUCUUCUGGUACCAAAAUCAUCUCUCUUUGUCUUUGGUUUUCCAUGGGUCCUUAAUUUUUUACAUCUCUAGGGUUAACUCUGAUUCUUUGAUGGAGGGAUGGUUUGGAGGUGUUUUUGGAACUAAUAAUUGAUGUGGUGUUAGUUAUUUCUCUUGGUGUCGAUAUGGCAGUAGCUUCCUCAAUGAUGCUUGAUGAGCUUGCCGAAGGUUCAACGAAGCCCAGAUCUGUGUGCUUUGAUGAAAAAAGGAGAACCCGAUAAUUAAAAUUGUAUGCGAUGUAUAGAAAUUACUUGUUACUUUAUGUGGAUCCAUCAAGCAACGAAGCCCAUAUCUGGCUAAGAUACUAAAGGUCCGGUUGUUACUAACUGCUAAGGAUUAUGUAGAGGCAAUUUCGGAAUCAUGCUGAAAAACAAUAAAAAAGUAGCUCUGGAUAAGGGAAAACUUGAAGAUGCGGUUAGCUAUGGAACAAACACCCUAUGGUGCAACGUUCUUGUGUUUUCACUCAAGUUUGGGGUCUGGAUUGCCACUUCAGGCCAUGUCAUGUUAGCUGAAAGUGUGCAUUUGGAUGUUUGUACAGACAGUAUCAAUUUAUAAAAACAAACAAUCUUAUAUUUUCAGCUUGAAGAGCUUCAGACCACAUCUUCAGUUGCAGACAUGAAAACAGAUGAAAUCAGCUUGCAGACAGUUUAUGUCUGCAAAAACAAACAAUACCUUAGUUGUGUUGUUUAAUGUCCGUGUUCAUCAAAGUGAUCAAUAUCUUAAAAUUGCUAUUCAUUGUUUUUCAAAAUGCGAAUAUUUAAGUGACCAGUUGUAUUGUUUAUUUAUGCAGAUGGGAAACAUCCAGCAUUAUACAACCCCCACGAAUAAUAGUGGGUGGAGUCGUCCACGAGUGGAAAGGGUUAUGUCUUGACCCUUCAUUGAUUCAACUAUAAUUUUUUUACUUUUAACAUUGUACAGCUACUGUCAAAAUUUCCCACGUAUUUUGUUGGAGUACAUUCAAGAUAAUACAUGCAUGAAUGUGAAUUAGCUGAACAUGUCGUAGGUUUGAUGUGCCACCUUGCCUCAUGCCAGUUCAGGUGGAGGAUUGCGGAUUGCCCUGAUGAUGCAGCAAGUUACAUACAUAGAGGUUGCAACACAGCCCGUUAUGAUUCUGUACGGCGGCCUGUCUUAUUUCUCUUGCAUACAGAGAUGAAAAUGCUUGAAAGAUUACAAGAGAAAAAGAUACCUGUUCAAUUUGACAAGUAGCCAAAGACAAAACGAAUGCAAUCUUGUCCUGGCAUGUUAGCUGCUCUGCUAGCAAAGUACACAGACUUGUAGCGUUUCGCUCAACGGGCCUUCAAUAUAUGAAGAUGUCCUUUUGACAAUAACAGAUGGAUUUGAUUGAUUCUUUUUGGUCUCUGCUAUUAACCUUAUAUGUUUUCUCACUGCUAGCAGUGAUAGUAAUUAGGUAAUGUCGUUUUUACCCUUUGCCACUCUAUUAAUAUUUAAAUAAAACACAACUUAUUUUAUUUCUUAAGAAGAUAGCAUGGUUUUGCAGUUAUAUCAUACCUACAUACUUUUAUGUGCAUUUAUACCAUAUUUAUUACACAAGUGUGUCAUCCUUUAUUGUUUAGGAUUGUUGUUGCCGCAAAAGAGAUCAAUGUGGGAAUUCUCAGUCGAUCAGACUAUAAAUAAAACAUUGGAAGCUAAUAUUCCUUCGAUUAAUCAUUUGAAUCUGAUCUUUUCUACUUUAUCGUUUAGGCUUGUGUAUUGAUUAUUUUCCCGUUUUCCCUUUGCUCAAAUGGCUUUUCUUUUGCUGUGUUUUUCAGGUGAGUUAAAGAGUUGAUGUCAAGAAGGCAAAACCAUAGACAGGCGGUGUUGAAUAUCAACUACAAAUAUUGUAAUUAUACAUGUAGUGGCCGUAAUAUUUUGUAAUAGUUACCAAAUUCCUAACGUGUGCGCGACAUGAGAAGUUUACAACUCUUCUUGUAGCGAAGACCUUUAAUGUCAUACUGCUUUUUGUAUGAUUUUACCGAA